UGACCACGCUAAGCACAUGGUCAAAUACAAAGCACUUACAUGUGCUCUUUACACUAAGCCAGCACACUAAGAGUACGCUGCGCCAGACGAAUUUUGUCACCAUAAUCAUACAGCCUUUCCCAGACAAAGUUCCAGAGCACGAGCCACAAAGGGCAGAGCCUUUCCGAAACGCUUUGAUGACCUGGCCCGUUCCGGGAAGGUGGGGCUGCUCUGCACAGAGGCGGCAACAGCACCGUUUCUUCGAAUUUCGGUUACUUCAUAUUUCAUCGCGGACACUAUUUGUUUUGGUAAAGAUCCGCUGCUCCGAGAAUUGCAGGGAGAGCUGCUGACGGCCGACUCGACACCAAGCCCGGGCAAGCUUGGGGCAGUAACCGAGCGAGCAGGAAUCGCUUGUUAGAGCGAUGCAGCCGGUGCGUGCCCGCACUCUCCCGAUGGGUGGUGCUGCGGGGACAGCGCUUGGUGGCCCUGCCCGACAAGCCGCCACCUCCCCCCGAGCCCCUUGGCUCCAGCCCCCGGGACCAGAGCGGGAUGAGGGGGUGCUGCUGCUGCUGCUGCUGCUGCUGCUGCUCUCCGAAGGGUUAAAAGCCUUCGAGCCCCAUGCGCAGGAGGCGUCUGGGCAGUGUGGGGGAGAAAUGCAGAAAAACUGCAGGCCACUGAUUGCGGGUGUAGUUCUCUUGGAUGACUCCUUGUGGGAAGAAAUAUCUGGGAAGCCACGGUUUCAAUACAGUGGCGAAGACUAUGGAAGUCAUUGCAAUCAAUUGGCAGAGAGAUGGCAAAACUGCAGCUUUGCCUGGAGAAGAGGGAUUUCCACAAGUUCUUUUCCCUUCUGGACUGGUGUUGACCGAUUUCUUCCACGUAUUGGAGUAGCUGUUUUCCAGUUCUAGUGAGUGACUCUGGUUUCUGGAGAAAGUAAGCCACCAGGAAAUUGCACUAAUAUUGAAUCACUGUUCUGUACACAUCAUCGUUCUGUACAGAUGUUUUCCAUGGUGAGGAAGUUGUUGUUAGGUAGGUUUUACAAUUUUAUGCUGCA
rnacentral:lncRNA from 1 species